rnacentral:misc_RNA from 1 species
CUAUUCGUUUAUGCGUGGUGCGUUGGAUUGCCGUCCUGCCAGUGCGCCACAACCUCCCUCCUCCUCCUUGCCUUCCCCUUUUCGUCUUUUGCAGCAGUGACAGUAGUGGGGCUGCGAACCUAGAGAAAGCGUCCGUACGAACAAAGUCACCCGUCAACGCCAUGAACACCGGAUUCAACUCACAGAGCCUCGGCACGUUCAAUGGGCUGCGCCCCGGCACCACGAUGCGGCCUGGGUCCCAGGCCCGACCCGGCACGAACCGCAUGCAAGUUGCCGGCAUUGGUGGCAGUCUACAGCAGCCGGUGGCAGUGUCAGCAGAGGCGGCUGUCUCGCGCGAGGGUAUGCGGGCAGCUUCGCGCAGUGGUGUCGGUACCUCUGCCGGUCCAGGACGUCAGGUUGGUGACCGUAGCUACUACAUCGGGCUGAUCCGCCCCAAGAUUGCGGAGCUCUCGGCUGAGAUUGAGCGACUGCAGGAGCAGGAACAGCUCAUCGACCGCAACAGCUCCGUGCUCACGCAGCUGCAGCAAAAGUCGAAGACGCUGCAGGACGAUAUUGCAAAGCUGAAGGACACGCUCGCGGAUGUAAACGUUGCCGUGGAAAAUUCGAGCUCGCUCGACCUCGCUGCCCUGAAGGAAGAGUCCACGCGACUGGAGAAGCAGAACAUCGCCCGCCGCAAGAAGGUCGACGACCUUUUCCUCGCUGUGAAGGACACGGACGCCAAGACGAAGGCGACGUUGCAGUCGCUGGAGGAGGAAAUCCAGCAGCUGGACAGGCGCAUACUCAACGAGAACCAAGACUACAACUCCUACAAGGCCAUCCGUGACGAAGCCUUCGCGGUGUCGGAUAUGGUGCUGGAUCGCCAACACGAGCUCCGAACGCUGCAAGCAAAGCAAGAACUGCUGAUGGCGAACCUCGCUGGCGACCCGGACAAGAAGCGCGCCGCCGAGAUGCUGCGCGGCAUUCUGCGCAAGCGACGGGAGAGCAAAGAACUGCAGAGCCAGUGCUCCCUCUCCGUCAAGGAAGAGCAGGAGAAGUUGAUUGGGCAGCUCAAGGCAACCCGCUCCGACAUCGAGGUGCUGGAGCGGCAGGUGAAUGACAUCCGUGACACGUUGCAGGAGUCGCGUGCCCGGCAAAGCGCGCUGGAGGAGGAGGUGAAGAAUUUCAGCGGCGAAAAUGUGCAGGCUUUCCAGGAGCUGCAAGAGAAGGACCGCGAGAUGCAGACCUUCAUUGACGAGUACCCCGACAGGGAGCGAGCGGAGCUGGAUAAGAUUGCCGAGACGCAGCGGCACAUUGCUGACCUGCUGAGCCGCAUCUCGCAAGCCCUCGAGAUGCAGCGGCAGAUGCCGUCGGAGAACAACACUGACACUCUCCACGACUUGACGACGCAGGUGGAUGCGAAGCGCGACCAGAUUCAGAACGACGUGAAGACCCACCAGCGCCUGGAGAAGGAACUGCUCGAGCGCAAGGCGGAGCUGGACAAGGUGGCGCACCUCGACAAGAAGAUCAAGGAGGAGCUGGCGUCGCACAGCGCCAAGAUGGCGGAGCAGAAGGCGGAGAUGGAGAAGUUCAGCGACUUGGACGGGCUGCGGGCGGAGGUGGAGGACACGCGCAAGGUGCUUAGCGCACAGCUAGCCUACUACACCCGUCUACGAGAUGGGUCGAAGGUUCAGCUAAAUGCGCUCACGGCGGAGUACGAGGCGCGCAAGAAGGAGCUGCACGCGGGCGAUGUGUUCGCCACACUCUCCACACAGGAGCAGCGCAUCCGCAUGCUGUGGCAGUCCACCUUCUCCCUAGAAGACUACGUGCGUCUCAGGGAGAAGGAAACGCAGUAUCUCGGCACUAAGGCGGAGUGCCUGCGGAUCGUCGAUGAAGUGAACCUGCUGUUGCAGAACCCCUCUCGGCUUGCCGGGAUGGGGACGGCGCCGCUCUUUAGUGCCACCAGCACGCAUUAGUGGCCGUUUAGAAGAGAGAAAUGAGGCUGCAUUCGUGCGCAUGCGCGUGUGUGUCUCUCUGUCACUCUCCCUUUAUGUAUGUUAGACAGGACCACAUGAUUGGCGUACGUUGCGGCGGUGCGGUUUGCACAUUGUUCUUUCCUUUGCUGAGGGUUGCUGAUAGACGUUGCUUGUGAGCUCUCUCUUCCCCUUCCUCCUUCCCCCCUGAUGCUUGCGAUUGCGGCGCGUGUAUCUUGGCGCUCAUGUCUGUCAGCGUGUGCGAUGGCCAGACGGCGCGUUCAUGUAAAGCGGACCUUCCCUCGCCCUUCAAAACGGGAACAUUUUUUUUUUUUUGCGCUUCGCUUUCGCCGUUGUGUGUAGGAGUGUGCCUGCGCGCGUUCGUCUGUGUGUUGCGAGGAGGAGAGAGACGGUGACCAAGAGGUGUGACCGUCCGUGAUGGUGAGCAGGCGUGAGAGCGAGAGACCGACGAAGGCAUCGUUGCUGUAAACGCAGCCACCCACCCGUCCACACAAGUACGUGUCCACGUGUCGCGUACGCCGAGGCGCAUCGCUCACAAUGUUCAUCGGGUUCUCCGUCCCUCUCACUUUCUCUCUCUUCUCUCGAGAGGUCACGGCACCAUCGCCGUUUGGCGAUCUCCUGUUUCCGUCUCCACCACUGCCUUC